GACGAACGCUGGCGGCGUGCUUAACACAUGCAAGUCGAACGGAAAGGCCCUGAUUUCGUGGGGUGCUCGAGUGGCGAACGCGUGAGUAACACGUGAGUAACCUGCCCUUGACUUUGGGAUAACUUCAGGAAACUGGGGCUAAUACCGUAUCGGAGCUCAUGCUGCAUGGUGGGGGUUGGAAAGUUUCGGCGGGUGGGGAUGGACUCGCGGCUUAUCAGCUUGUUGGUGGGGUAGUGGCUUACCAAGGCUUUGACGGGUAGCCGGCCUGAGAGGGUGACCGGCCACAUUGGGACUGAGAGACGGCCCAGACUCCUACGGGAGGCAGCAGUGGGGAAUAUUGCACAAUGGGCGGAAGCCUGAUGCAGCAACGCCGCGUGCGGGAUGACGGCCUGCGGGGUGUAAACCGCUUUCGCCUGUGACGAAGCGUGAGUGACGGUAAUGGGUAAAGAAGCACCGGCUAACUACGUG
rnacentral:rRNA from 1 species